rnacentral:rRNA from 1 species
UACGUAGGGUGCGAGCGUUAAUCGGAAUUACUGGGCGUAAAGCGUGCGCAGGCGGUUUUGUAAGCCAGAUGUGAAAUCCCCGGGCUCAACCUGGGAAUGGCAUUUGGGACUGCAAGGCUGGAGUGCGGCAGAGGAGACUGGAAUUCCUGGUGUAGCAGUGAAAUGCGUAGAUAUUGGGAGGAACACCAGUGGCGAAGGCGGCUACCUGGACCGGUUCUGACGCUGAUGCGCGAAAGCG